CAUGUCAGCUGCUCUUUCUUUCAGAAGCAUGGCUCUCUCCUGAGGAAAUGCAAAAAUUGCUGUGAAGACUGGAAAGAAUCCCCAAAAGACAGCAAUAAAGAAAAGCAGCCCUGCCUGCAAUAGUUGGGAAAAUCAGAAUCUGCUUGCAUAUGUACGCAUAUGGUCGUGGGACCGUCAACAAAUGAGAAGUAUUGUGGAAAUAAAUCGUCCCUGGAACCUAAUUGCAGAAUGUAAUAGGGCUAUACCUGAUCCUCUAGUCCCUUUUCCGUUGUGCUAUCUGACUGCCACCAUAACAAUCCAAGUAUAACUGCAGUGGCCAAAACUUGGGUUACCCUUAGCCAGCUAAAAUACUCGUGCUUUCGCUCUUUGAUUCCUCUCCUGAAUAAAAUGGAAUAUUGUUGCCACCAGCUUGCUCCCCACUUUCGUUUUACAGAAGAUAAAUUUGAUUUGAAUUCUUCGUCAAUAGGUAGAGGAGCCAUAAGCUUUCUCUUUUCUUUCUCUGCAACUCGUGAUUCGUAUGAUUCCACUAGAUACUGCAAUGAAAGUUUUAACAUGAGGCAAUUGUAUCUGCAGAUGGUCUGGCAUUCGUUCUUUCAGUUCCCGGGUCGUCUAUCUGUACUUUAUCUUCUAAUUCAGAUGGUACAGUUACAUCAUUUAUGUUCCCAUUAGCAAGGUCCAGGAGGAAUUCUGCUGGGUUCAUUGAUAU